GACGAACGCUGGCGGCGUGCUUAACACAUGCAAGUCGAACGAAGUGGCGAACGGGUGAGUAAUACGUGAGUAACCUGCCCUCCUUUUUGGGAUAAGCCUUGGAAACGGGGUCUAAUACCGACUAAAGGGGGAUGGGCUCGCGGCCUAUCAGCUUGUUUGUGGGGUGAUGGCCUACCAAGGCGGUGAUGGGUAGCCGGCCUGAGAGGGUGACCGGCCACAUGGGGACUGAGAUACGGCCCGGCCGCCGACGGGAGGCAGGAGUGGGGGAUAUUGCACAAUGGGCGAAAGCCUGAUGCAGCGACGCCGCGUGGGGGAUGAAGGCUUUCGGGUUGUAAACCUCUUUAGCUAUCGAACGGGUAGGUGAAGAAGAAGCGCCGGCUAACUACGUGCCAGCAGCCGCGGUAAUAC
rnacentral:rRNA from 1 species